rnacentral:lncRNA from 1 species
UCACCACACAAGGCACAGGACACCAAACAGGACACACCAGGCACAACACACCAGCCACAGCACACCCGGCACCACUCAACAGGCACAGCGCAGCUGGCACGGCGCACCAGACACAACCAGCCAAGUCCACGCUGCGUCUACACUUGCUUUAAGGUAGUAGCAAUCUGCUCUGCUUGGGAAAAGCCUUUCUGAAGGUUAUAAUCCUAUCUUCUCUGCCUGCAAGCUCGAGCCUUUGUUAAUUGAGGAUCUACUGUAUGCAAAGGUCCGAGGUGCAAGAAUCCUUGCCAGUUCUGCUCCAGAUGGAACAGAUACCAAUACUUUAAAAAAAACAAAAACAAAAACAAAACUUCAAAGCAUAGAAGCGGACCCAAUCCUGGAUCUUCUAAGAUGGCAUAUCUGAAAGAGACGGUUGAGUGAAAGACCUGGAGGCUGAGGACUGGGGAUUGAACCUGGGUCUCAAGACAUGCCGGGCAAAUACUGUAACGGCUGAACCCCUCACUGGGAAUUGGGAACCAGCUAGCUAGACUACUGAAUGGUGACCUCAGGUAUGUCCGACCUCCAGGUACAUCGACCCUGCAGAAGAUCCCUCAGCGGGCAGCAGGGGCCCCAACCCUGGCUUGCUUCUUCUCCAGCUUGGCAAAACCCAACCCUGUUGGCUUCGGUGACCUUUCCUGGACCGCUGGCGGAGUGAGGACAAGCAAGGCUACUGUGUGAAGCCUACUGAAGACCUUGAGGGAGCCACAGUAAACAUUGCAACUGUGUUUGAUGAAGAACUUGGCUUUGGGUCCCGCUAGCAGGAAGAGCUCAAACUGGCUUGGCAAGGGCAGGCAGGCCUGAGGCCACAGCUUGGCUGCAGGGCCUGGGAAGGAACUCUGAGACUGUGCACUCAAAAGGAACCUGGAGCCUUCUCUCCCAAAGCAGCUAACCACCUUCUUUGUAUCUCUAAGCUCCUGCUUGGCUGGAGGUAGUAACAUAUUAAUGAUAAGAAUGAAAAUUAAUUAAUCCCC